rnacentral:rRNA from 1 species
UACGGAGGGUGCGAGCGUUGUCCGGAAUCACUGGGCGUAAAGCGCACGUAGGCGGAUUGUUAAGUCAGGGGUGAAAUCCUGGAGCUCAACUCCAGAACUGCCUUUGAUACUGGCAAUCUUGAGUCCGGAAGAGGUGAGUGGAACUCCUAGUGUAGAGGUGGAAUUCGUAGAUAUUAGGAAGAACACCAGUGGCGAAGGCGACUCACUGGUCCGGUACUGACGCUGAGGUGCGAAAGCGUGGGGAGCAAACAGG